rnacentral:rRNA from 1 species
AACGAACGCUGGCGGCGUGCUUAACACAUGCAAGUCGAACGUGAUUGGGAGCUUGCUCCCAUGAAAGUGGCGCACGGGUGAGUAACACGUGGAUAAUCUGCCUGGAGAUUCGGGAUAACACUUCGAAAGGGGUGCUAAUUCCGGAUAAGCCCACGGACUCUUUGGAGUUUGCGGGAAAAGGGGGCCUCUGCAUAUGCUCCUGUCACCAGAUGAGUCCGCGGCCCAUUAGCUAGUUGGUAGGGUAGUGGCCUACCAAGGCAACGAUGGGUAGCUGGUCCGAGAGGAUGAUCAGCCACACUGGAACUGGGACACGGUCCAGGAUCCUCCGGGAGGCAGCAGUGGGGAAUUUUGCGCAAUGGGCGAAAGCCUGACGCAGCAACGCCGCGUGAGUGAUGAAGGCCCUCGGGUCGUAAAGCUCUGUCAGAGGGGAAGAACCGCCGGGUAGCUAAUACCUGCCUGGUCUGACGGUACCCUCAAAGGAAGCACCGGCUAACUCCGUGCCAGCCGCCGCAGUAACAC